rnacentral:lncRNA from 1 species
GGAUUUUUAGAAAGAAAUCUAAUGACUCAUUUUAAAGGUACUAUACACAAAGACUAACUUAAGUAAUAUUCUACUUUUUUUUUCCCCACCUGUUUGAACUGUAAACCUUUAUUUUUCAUGUAGCAUGAAAUGCAAUAUUUUUAAUACAUAUAUAUUAAGUAUUUUCCUCAUACAUUUAAAUAUCAUAAAGUAGAGUGUACUGAGAUCUAAAAUUCUGCAUUCAAGGCACUAAAUUACUUCCUUCUCUAGAAAGGUUAAUGCAGCAGAAAUAACAAGCAAUUCUCAGUUCUAACAAUGUUAGAAGCAGGUUUGGUAAGUCUCCCAGACUUGCAAGAAGAAUAGAGAAGCAUGGAAAAAUUGCAGACCUGUCUAUAGCUACCGUAAGGUAAGAAGAUAUUCCUUCUUUUAGCAGAGGCAUUCCCUAUGGCAGCUGAUAAAAUGAAAGAAGUGGCUACUCUUAAACCUUUAAAAAUCAAAAUACAGUAAAAACAGAAAAAAUAUAAUACAUCUUAGCAGAUUUCUACUUUAAAAAAAGAGUAUAUUAAUUCCACUGUUCUGUUUCUGCUGUAGGAAGAUUUCUCAAACGAGUUCAACUGUUUCUUGAGUUUGGGUGCAAGCUGUGGUGACCUUUCCCUGAGGAUUUCUCUUGACAAAAUUUAUGUGCAAGUGGGAACCUAAUCAGAAAUCUCUGCUCAUAUUCUGUUAUCCUUCAUUUCAUCUACAAAAGCUUUCUACUUCCUGUCAUCCAGCAAAGAAGUUAUUAAAAUUUUUGUUCGUUUUAUGCCUUCUUCACAAUGCAGCAGCAGAGUACUCUGGGCCUUGGACAGAUGAGUGGUUGCCCUACCUUUAGGUGGGGGAAUAAGAGAAGAGGGGUGGGAGGCAGCUGAUGAUGUUACUGUGUAGAAGUUCCACACCUUCCAUGAACAUAUGCCAGAACUAGGUUUUCUGGAUAUUCUGGGGAAUGUGUCUUUUCCAUCAUAAACAUUUAAGGAAAUAACUGAUAAAAACCACUGAGUAGCAUGUUUAGUUAUGUUGAAAGACUAUAAGCAGAAUUAUACACAUUUAGUGAUUUCCUAUCUGAAGAUAUUAACUAUGUCAGUAUCUGUCCAUGUAUUUAGUCAUUAGAAAUAUUAGCAAUAGAAAUUGUUAGAGAAAUAAAUUUCUUGUUCGAUCAUAAUUAAAAAUUUAG